AUUGAACGCUGGCGGCAUGCUUUACACAUGCAAGUCGAACGGUAACAGGCCGCAAGGUGCUGACGAGUGGCGAACGGGUGAGUAAUGCAUCGGAACGUGCCCAGUCGUGGGGGAUAACGCAGCGAAAGCUGCGCUAAUACCGCAUACGAUCUAUGGAUGAAAGCGGGGGACCGUAAGGCCUCGCGCGAACGGAGCGGCCGAUGGCAGAUUAGGUAGUUGGUGGGAUAAAAGCUUACCAAGCCGACGAUCUGUCGCUGUCUGCGAGGCCGACCAGCGACACGGGGACUGAGCCCCGGCCCAGACUCCUACGGGAGGCAGCAGUGGGGUAAUUUGGACAAUGGGCGAAAGCCUGAUCCAGCCAUGCCGCGUGCAGGAUGCAGGCCUUCGGGUUGUAAACUGCUUUUGUACGGAACGAAACGGCGAGCUCUAAUACAGUUUGCUAAUGACGGUACCGUAAGAAUAAGCACCGGCUAACUACGUGCCAGCCGCCGCCGUAACAC
rnacentral:rRNA from 1 species